rnacentral:rRNA from 1 species
AUUGAACGCUGGCGGCAGGCCUAACACAUGCAAGUCGAACGGUAACAGGAAGAAGCUUGCUUCUUUGCUGACGAGUGGCGGACGGGUGAGUAAUGUCUGGGAAGCUGCCUGAUGGAGGGGGAUAACUACUGGAAACGGUAGCUAAUACCGCAUAACGUCGCAAGACCAAAGAGGGGGACCUUCGGGCCUCUUGCCAUCGGAUGUGCCCAGAUGGGAUUAGCUAGUAGGUGGGGUAACGGCUCACCUAGGCGACGAUCCCUAGCUGGUCUGAGAGGAUGACCAGCCACACUGGAACUGAGACACGGUCCAGACUCCUACGGGAGGCAGCAGUGGGGAAUAUUGCACAAUGGGCGCAAGCCUGAUGCAGCCAUGCCGCGUGUAUGAAGAAGGCCUUCGGGUUGUAAAGUACUUUCAGCGGGGAGGAAGGGAGUAAAGUUAAUACCUGUGCUCAUUGACGUUACCCGCAGAAGAAGCACCGGCUAACUCCGUG